rnacentral:misc_RNA from 1 species
GUUCAGUGGUUGAGUUUCUUGUUACUUUCAUUGAAUUUGGUUAGGUUACGAUAGAGGAGAAACAGAGUCCCUCUCCUACCUUACUAGUCGCGCAGGUCUUAGCAAGAAGACUCUACCACUAGUUCUGCGCUGCAGAGAGUCUCUGCUAACUCCUCUCGGAGUUAGCGACUCCAGCUCGAGCCUAAACUCUCGCUCGUUGUCACUCGACUAUCGUCGAUGUCAACAGGUAAUGAUCCUUCCGCAGGUUCACCUACGGAAA